AGCAAAAUGAUGAAGUUCUAUGCUCUGAAUUUGAUGUGGAACAUAUAUUAUGUAUUUGCCUUCAAAGUUCUCUGAUUGCU